AUACGGAGGAUGCGAGCGUUAUCCGGAUUUAUUGGGUUUAAAGGGUGCGUAGGCUGUGCGUUAAGUCAGGGGUGAAAUGCCGUCGCUCAACGACGGAGCUGCCCUUGAUACUGGCGUGCUGGAGGACGGCUGCCGUUGGAGGAAUGAGCGGUGUAGCGGUGAAAUGCUUAGAUAUCACUCAGAACACCGAUUGCGAAGGCAUCUGACGAAUCCGUCACUGACGCUGAGGCACGAAAGCGUGGGGAUAGAACAGUAUUAGAUACCCUGGUAUUCCACGCCGUAAACGAUGAUGACUAACCGUCGGCGAUAGACAGCCGGUGGCCAAGCGAAAGCGAUAAGUCAUCCACCUGGGGAGUACGUCGGCAACGAUGAAACUCAAAUGAAUUGACGGGG
rnacentral:rRNA from 1 species